GUGCUUCAGCAGCACAUCUACUAAAAUGGGAACAAUGCCAAGAUUAGCAUGAUCCCAGCACAAGGAUGACACACGAAUUUGUGAAGUGUUCCAUAUUAAA
ensembl:snRNA U6 U6 spliceosomal RNA